CAGGCCCUACGGGGCGCACCAGGCGCGAAACCUCCGCAAUGCGGGAAACCGUGACGGGGUCACCCCGAGUGCCCCCGAAAGGGGGCUUUUCCCCGCUGCAAGGAGGCGGGGGAAUAAGCGGGGGCAAGUCUGGUGUCAGCAGCCGCGGUAA
rnacentral:rRNA from 1 species